rnacentral:misc_RNA from 1 species
GCAAACUUGGUCAUUUAGAGGAAGUAAAAGUCGUAACAAGGUUUCCGUAGGUGAACCUGCGGAAGGAUCAUUAUUGAAAUAAAGUUGGGUUGGGUUGUUGCUGGCUUCCAAAAGCAUGUGCACACCUGAUCUAUUUUCUUUCUUUUAACACCCCCCUGUGCACCGUUGUAGACCUGAACUUGAACAGCUCUCAAGUUAAAUAAAAAAACACUUAACUUGGUUUCAGAAUUGCUGUGUUGAACUGUGAACAGCCAGCUUUUUUUUUUUUCUGCCUUUUCGGUGUGUUCUUCCAGGUCUAUGUUUAUCAUGUACUCAGAAUGUUGCCGAUUGGGCAUUUGUGCCUUUUUAAUAUAAAAACAAAAUACAACUUUCAACAACGGAUCUCUUGGCUCUCGCAUCGAUGAAGAACGCAGC